rnacentral:lncRNA from 1 species
AUGUCACAAAGGGGGAUUUUCAGCAUCAGCUUUUCCCCUCAUGGGUACUGUUUGGAAGCUGUCUCUCCAGGCAUGGCAGUGCUGUUGGCACCUCUGGUGUGUGCCAUGUUUGGGGACCUCUGGUCUUUGCUCUCUCAGGGAGUGAAAAGUUUUGGGAAAUCACAGAGACCAGGAAGGGCUCACUCUGGUGUGUCAGAUAUCUGCUGGAAGUGUCUGAGGGGAUUGGCACCUCUGGGUCAAGGUAAAUCUGAUGCUGGAAGUGUAUUCAUUGUGCCUCUUUGGGUGGCAGCGUUUGCAGAGUUCUCAGAAACCAGCAGGAAGAUGACUGUUGAUGUCUCAGUGGAGAUAACAUGUUUGGUAGCCUGUCCUGAUGGAGAGGAAGCUGAACUCAGAGGGACUCUGUGCACUACUUUCCUUUUCCCUCUUUCAGUGGUGAUAAUCAGGAGAAAAUAGUUCUGAACCUAUUCUUUCAAGCCUUUGUUUUGUUUCUGGUUGUGUGUCUGGGUCUUCUGGACGCAGCACCUUCUCACAUGAGUCCAAGGGAGCAGUAGACCAUGGCUGCCUGCUUUUCCACCUGCUGUGAAGCACGGCAGGGUGGGUGCUGGCAGUCCUGCGUGGCAGGAGGAGGGAUUUAGGAUCAUGGAUGUGGCUCCGGGGAGCUAUAGGAUCAUUUUAAGUUACUUGUGAGAAGUGUCCAAGGAAAGGAAGGCAUGUGUGUGAUGGAUGAAGAGGGCGCACAGGGGCUGCUGCCACAGGGGUCUCAGAUCUGUGGAUCCACCUGCUUCAUUUACCUGAGGCCAGAUCCUGUCCCCUUUGCAGGGACUGAAUAUUUUGGCAGUGACCUGAGGGAAGCUGUGCUCGAACUAUCUCAGAAAUACUUUCCCCAAAUUUUCUGGGUGACAGGGAGGGGUGCCAGGCCCUCAGUCCGCUGUUGGCAGCACCUGGUUUUCUCUCUCUUUACCUCAGACCUUUGCCUGAGGCCUGCUCCCCUCCAUGCCAUGCCUGUCACACAGCUCCUGCCUGCCCGGCAGCCUCCCCUCUCUUACAGCAUCGCUUUCAGUUUCCCCCUUCUCCUCCUCCUUUUCCCCCACGUUCCUGACCACAAUUUCCCCCUCUCUGUUGUUGCUGCCCUGCGUUCUUCCCAAUCCUGACAGCUGCCCUUUUUCUCUUUUCUACCCCCUCACUGCUGCCCCUCUCCUCCUGCUGCCCGGGCUCCCCGUCCUCACACAGCCCGUCUGGCAGUUUGUCCAUGGUUUUUGUGCCUCCUGUUCUGUGGGAUCAGGGCUGGGACCGUGGGCUUUAAUAAAAUUGAAUGGAAAGAAUCUGCGCCA